UAAUUAUGAGGCUAUUUUAGUUCCGGACUCAUUAUACAAUCACCUUCACCUCCAUUCACACUAGCCACUAGGCAAAAUGAUUCUUGAUGCAAACAUUAAACAGAGCUGAAUUUCUUGACCAAAUACAAAUUUCUCAACUGGAUCUCCAAAUUGUGAAAUGAUUUGAGUUGUAAGGAGAUAGGUGCAAGUGUCGGUCCUGUACAAUAUGGAAAAGUUGCUACUCUCUUGCAUAUAGCAAUUUUACUUGGUUGCUCCUAACAAUGGAUUUUGGUAACAUUGAGGGAGUUGAAAUGGAGUCUAUAAAGGCAGAAGAAUAAGCCGGCCAGCUACAAUACCGGUCCAUUUAACUUGCUAAUUUUUUGCGUAUUCAAAUCGGGUAUUCUAAUGGGAAGUACUGAGCAUUCAAGCCCACUGCCCUUCAUUACCUACUAUGAGAAGAUUGGCAAAAUUUCCAAGGAUAAGACAGUCUUCUUAACAACUGUUCUGCUUUAUCAAUUGGUGUGGCAGAGUACUCUUUUCCGUCAGGAUAACAUACGUUUUCAACUACUGUUAUGUGAAUACGAAAUGGAUUCUGCAUCAUUUAGGCCCUGAGCAAUCAUCUCCUUCAAAUGGAUGAGUAUUUUUUGUUGCUUCCUGGAAAUGAUUUGAGUUGUAAGGAGAUAGGUGCAAGUGUCGGUCCUGUACAAUAUGGAAAAGUUGCUACUCUCUUGCAUAUUAGCAAUUUUACUUGGUUGCUCCUAACAAUGGAUUUUGCGUGACUCCUUAUAGGUAACAUUGAGGGAGUUGAAAUGGAGUCUAUAAAGGCAGAAGAAUAAGCCGGCCAGCUACAAUACCGGUCCAUUUAACUUGCUAAUUUUUUGCGUAUUCAAAUCGGGUAUUCUAAUGGGAAGUACUGAGCAUUCAAGCCCACUGCCCUUCAUUACCUACUAUGAGAAGAUUGGCAAAAUUUCCAAGGAUAAGACAGUCUUCUUAACAACUGUUCUGCUUUAUCAAUUGGUGUGGCAGAGUACUCUUUUCCGUCAGGAUAACAUACGUUUUCAACUACUGUUAUGUGAAUACGAAAUGGAUUCUGCAUCAUUUAGGCCCUGAGCAAUCAUCUCCUUCAAAUGGAUGAGUAUUUUUUGUUGCUUCCUGGUUUGAUUUCUCUCCCAACCAUAUUUUAUUUGCUCAUGUUAUGGUACAAAUAUGCAUUUUAGGACAAUUCUUUUUGGCUUGAGCUAACUAUUUUCAAUUUUUCCGUGUUAUAUCUGACAUUCUCUAUCCAGCUUCUUUUGGUUAUUAAGCUUGACCUUUGUAAAGCUCUCACUUCUUGAAGUCUGUCUUUUGCCAUUAUUGUUUGGUCCUACUGGUUGGUGAUCUAUUUCACUUCUUGUGAAUUUAGGUGCAAAUGCAUUAGUGGCAUUUGCAUUUACCGCUCUUCAUAUACUGAAACUAAUUCCAAUUUUCAACAUGAUAUGUUUUUGGCACUUGCUCUGUUUUGGAAUUUCCUUUAAAUGUGAAGGAUAGAAGUGCUUUGUUCUGGGGAGGUGUAUUUAAAUUAGUUACUUUGAGAAUUAAAAAAAAAAAAAAACCUUUGAAAAGAAUAGCAGGCCAAACCAGUUAUUUGAAAUUGGUAGACUUUUGGAAGUCAGAUGAGCUAUAAUUAUUUAAGGCUAAAUUAAAUUAUAAGAGAAAUACAUAUUUUUUAAAAUAAAAUAACAUAUCUUUUACAGUAAUAAUUAUUCUUUAACAUACUUAGUUACAGAUGUACCUUAAGUAUGGAAUUUCAUAUUAGAGGGAUGCAAAUGUUUGAUUCUGAAAUAUAAAGGAUGUAUGUGAGAUUAAGUCAUAUUAUAAGUAUGAUUAGUGUAAUUAACUCAUAAACAAAUAAUAAUAGAUUAUACUCUUAAUUAUCUCCAAAAUAUUUCACUCAACGUGUUUGAUGAUAUGUCUGCCACUGGAAAUCUGGAGUUUUUACGAUGGUCAUCGUCAAUUGCACCUUUGCUAAUAAUUUUCUGAUUUCCUCAAGCAUGUUUCUACAUAUCUAGGUGCAAGCUGUAGGAAGUAGUGCAAAAUUUUCUGCCUCUGCUAUAUUUUUCUACUUAAACUGCUAAGAUGAAGCUUCUUUACACUAUUUUCAUUCAUGAUGGUCACUGAUAUUGUUGUUAUUAUUAUUAUUUGAAUGGUAAAUGGUUGUUACUCUUAUUUCAUUAAUCCCUAACAUCUCAAAUAUAAUUUUGCAGAAUUUGCGAGUCGAAUUACAUUGUCUGUUGCUAAAAAGUUAGCAUCUUUUGAGUUAAUUUAGAGCUUUCUUUCUCCUUCCUUUUUUGCAAUAUUUAUUUUCAUCACUUUUUCUUCCUUUCCUUCAAUCCAAAGAAUCUACGGAUGUUGGCAUUUAAACAAGACGUCAUUGGUUUUACAUACGAAACUGGAGUUUUUUUUAAUUGUGUAAACAAUUGCUGAUUUUGGUGGCCUUAUAUAUUUUUCAUAAAUUUCAUAUGCAUAAUGCAUACCUGUGCUUUUUUGGAUAAAUCUAAAGGUAGAAAAACAUCAUGGCAUAACAGCAAAGCACUCAUCAAUCAAAUGACACCAGCUACAUCUGAUAGGACAUGUAAUAUUUAAGUUAUGGACAAAAGUCGAGAAUGAGGUAGUCGUGACAAAAAUUAAUACUUCAGAAAAAUCUCUUUUGGACGAUGAAAGGUAAUUUGAUUUAUGUUCUAUGUAUAGAAUCGACUUUGUUUAAUUACAUGUCCAUUGUUAUUUGUUCCUUUUACACAUACAGAUAACUUACAGGAACAACAAAUCAAAAAAUUCCUGUCCAGCAAUGAUAUUUCAUAUUUGAAGAAAAUUUUGAGCUCUUUCCAGACAAAUAUCAUGUCAGCCUUUUGUUUGGCAAAAGGUAUCAACUCUUAUCUCUGAGGUCUAUUUCUAACCUUCCUAGAGGAGGCAUUAUUCUCAAAUUUAUAGCUAAAGCAAGACUAGACAGCUAAUGUAAGAUUGAUUUUAAUGAAUUUAGAAAUGAUUCCUUAUAUGUAUUUAAGUCUUGAGAGGUUAAUGAUUUGCUAUGUGUAGAAGGUGAUCUUUAAUGGGUUUCCUUCUCUUCCCAUUGUAUCCUGCAAAAAGGGGACCAAAAGAGAAAGGAUUUGCAGUUGUAGAUUAGAAUCUCCUAGUGGUUAAUAUUUGCUGUAGCAAAAUAUAUACUAAAUUACUUUCAGAUAUAUUUUUCUUCUCUAAUCUGAAGCAAAUAAUUGUUUGAUUUCCCGUUGAAGACCAUACGUGACAUAUAGGAAGACAAAAGUCAUGAUUGUUUACCCUUGGACAAAUUAAGUUAGCUCUCUAUACUAUUUCUUACAAACAUAUAUGUUCACUGCAAAAUAGUUUAUCGAAAUUGCUUGGUAAGUUUAACUUAUAUUGUGAUGACUUCAUCGAUACUUUUUAAUUCUUGUUCUUUCCAUCCUAACCUCUUUAAGUAAAGCUAAGAAUUGAAUCAAAUGAAAGAGUUGAUAUAUAGUUACAGUAUUUCAAUGUGUUUCCUAGCUCCCUCGGCCCGCUGCUACUUUUAGGAAUAAAUUGUAGUCUGUCACCUGUGUGACAAAGGAGUAAUAGACAAAAACAUUGAUAAUUUUUUGAGGAUGGAAAGGUUUGAAAUCUGAUCUAGGUCAUGACUACAACAUUGUCAUUGUACUUUUUUUUAAAAUCAUGGUAUAAACUAGCCUAGCCAAAUAACAGUGUAACUUAAACAGGGUUUAUCUAUGACGUUUUGUUCUUGGAUGGACACGCUAUUGUUUAUUCUACUAAUAUAUAUAAACAGAGAAGUGAGAUAUAAUCCAAACUGGCGCAGACUUCUUCUUUCUUGACUGCCAUUUUGCUAACUUGGUAUGUAUUCAUGAGUGAAUUAUCUCAACAACAGUUACAUUUUUCAUCAUGUUUAAAAACCCCCUUAAAGGGUUGUAUUUCUGGUUGUGCAUGUGAUUAGGUGGGAGAAAUGUGCUGAGGUUCCAAGAAUUGACAUUACAAGAGUGCUUCAGAAUAAGUCGAAGCAAAUUUUGUUGAUGGUAAUUAGUAAUACACACUGUGGUUCCAUUUUUUAACUUUUUUUUUAUAAGGAUUUCUUUAAGCAUCUUUUGUUUGGUUGGAUACUAACUUCCAUUAGAUGCUGAGUUAUUACUUGAUGACUUACUGUUACUAUUAUCAAGGAUGUUGAGAACUUGACAAUUAGGUGGAAUUUGUUUUCCCAUCCCGUAAUUGCCACACAUUUCUCUGCAAUCAAAGUAUCUUCUUUAUGUUCCAUACCUAUAAGCUUUCACAUUCAUAUAUUACUUCAGCAAGUGUUAAGAUAAGUCACUUUAUUCUAGCUUCUUCUCUGAUGAAUUUACUGAACUUCAUUAAGAUCAUUUCAACACUUCAAUAAGUCAAUUGAAAAGACAUUGCAGUUCUAGGUGAGCGUCAGUUUCCUCUUCUUAUUUCCUUUCCUCUUUCUUAUGAUUUUUUUUGAUUAAAAUGUUGUGAAGGACGGAGAAACAGGAUAUGGUGUACAUUUCCUUUUUAGAAUAGAUAUCUGGUUAGCAGAGUUAUAUGAGUUGCAUUGAUAAUUCACACUCUUCUUCCACGUGAAUGUCUGUUAUAGGGCUGUAUGAUCUUUUCUUUGCAGUUAGUGAUAGCCACAUGUUCUUUUCAUAAUAUACCAUUGCUUUGGUGCAUCAAAUUGCAUAACAUUAAAGUGGAGGUUAACUGGUACUGAUAGAAAAAUGAAAAGAAUAUAAACUGAACAAGGGAAUAAGAAUGGAAGAUAUGAACAUGUCUAUUUGGAGAAGAAUGAAAUAAGUUUUAGGAUUGCUAUUUAACACGUAAAUACAUGCCAGAGAGAGUCCAUUACCACUAUCUUCCAUACCUAAUCUAUUCAUCAAUGAACCAAUGUAAAGAUUGAUAAGGAUAUCAUUCGGUCAUCCUGACGAAAUAAUUUUCUUUUUUCACAAACAUGCACUGUUUUGUAAUCAUGUAUUGUAUCAUUUGAGACAUUAUUAAUUUACUGUCAUUUGAAAGCACAUUGACUUUGUCUAUAACUUCAAGAAUAUGAUAAUAUUUUCCUCUCUUCUUAAUGCUCUGUAGUUUUUAUCCCUUAGGUUCUACAUUUCCAUGGAACUAAAUGGUAGGUUCCCAGAUCCUUCAAAAACUAUAUCAAGACAGCAGAUAUGCUCCAAUACUGUAUCAUUGCCCAAUCAUGAUGCCUAAUUAUGUACAAUUAAGGACUAGCUUCAAGGUUUAGUUUUUUCUACUUCUUUUGAACUUUGCUUCUAUUUCUACCUCAAGUGCUCUUGUGUGUGUGCAUAUUUUGUGCUUUGGGAGGAAAUACUAUAUUGGAAGGCCACACAUGAAGCAACGUCCUUUGGUGUGUUGACUCAAAGUCACAAUCUUGGACAUGAUCCAAAACCUAAAAAAACAUAAGCAUGAGUUGGGAAAGUUGAUGCAAGAUCAAAAGAAUUCACAAGCUCUCUUUGUAAUGCUACACUACCGCUGGAGGUACGGUGCUCUCUAAGAACCUCUUUUAAUUGUUUUUGAGUUCAAACUUUAGUACAUUUCUGCUAUUUGCUAAUUUUUGAAGAGAUUCAUGCACUUGCUAGCACGUGCUUUAUUUCAAUCUGAGGUGAUUUGCAGUAUGGCUAAAGGAAUGACAAGGCAAUUUGGAUUUUAAUGAGGCAAUAAAUGUGUAAACCGCUUUAUAAAGAUUCUUAAAUUUCUUCUGUAAGUUUGUGCUACUUUCUAUCUAAGCUUACAAAUAAUAACAAAGAAGCUCCAAAGGUUAGUCAAUCACAACUCUAUUCUCCUAUUAUAGCAAGUGUGUCGUUUGAUUCAUUUUAUGAAAGGAUAAUUUGAAGGAAAAAUUACUUUGCAUUCCUUCUCUAAAUUUUGAGACUCUAUUUCAUUACUUAGGUUCCUUUUUUCCCCGUUUAAAUUUGCUACUUCUUUACUGCAGAUGAAAAUUCGAACACUUUUGGUUUUUGUACAAAUCAGCCCAUCCUUCCAAAGACUAAGGUCCAACUCUCAAUUUAUUGACCUUACCAAGAAGAGUUAGUGAGAUCCAAGAGAUGAAAAUGACAGUUUCAGGAUAUGGCCAAUUGAAGGUUAUUUUUGCAGCAACCUCUUCACUGUUAAUUUCUUUUCGAUCUGUAAGUUUCUUUUUCCUUCUUAACGUUUAAAGCUUAUGUCCAUUCAAUACGAAGUAGUGAAACGUAAUUAUCUUUUUAUCAAACACUGAAUGAAUCUUUGCGGAAUGCUUACUCCUACGUUGUUUAUGAAAUAAAUUAGUUGUAUAA